UACGGAGGGAGCUAGCGUUUAUUCGGAAUUACUGGGCGUAAAGCGCACGUAGGCGGCUUUGUAAGUUAGAGGUGAAAGCCUGGAGCUCAACUCCAGAACUGCCUUUAAGACUGCAUCGCUUGAAUCCAGGAGAGGUGAGUGGAAUUCCGAGUGUAGAGGUGAAAUUCGUAGAUAUUCGGAAGAAACACCAGUGGCGAAGGCGGCUCACUGG
rnacentral:rRNA from 1 species